rnacentral:rRNA from 1 species
AGAGGCUACUGCUAUCGGGGUUCGAUNAAGCCAUGCGAGUUAAAUGUUCUUCGUGAACAUAGCGAACUGNUCAGUAACACGUGGAUAACCUACCNUUAGGACCGGAAUAACCCCGGGAAACUGGGGAUAAUACCGGAUAAGCCAUAGACGCUGGAAUGCCCUAUGGUUCAAAGCUCCGGCGCCUAAGGAUGGAUCUGCGGUCUAUCAGGUUGUAGUGGGUGUAACGUACCUACUAGCCGACGACGGAUACGGGUUGUGAGAGCAAGAGCCCGGAGAUGGAUUCUGAGACACGAAUCCAGGCCCUACGGGGUGCAGCAGGCGCGAACACUUUACAAUGCGGGAAACCGCGAUAAGGGAACCCCGAGUGCCAGCAUCAAAUGUUGGCUGUCCAGAUGAUUAAAAAUCAUUUGUUAGCAAGGGCCAGGCAAGACCGGUGCCAGCCGCCGCGGUAACACCGGCGGCCCGAGUGGUAGCCGUUUUUAUUGGGUCUAAAGGGUCCGUAGCCGGCUUGAUAAGUCCUUUGGGAAAUCUGGCAGCUUAACUGUCAGGCUUCUAAGGGAUACUGUCAGGCUUGGGACCGGAAGAGGUAAGGGGUACUCCAGGGGUAGGAGUGAAAUCUUGUAAUCCCUGGGGGACCAUCUGUGGCGAAGGCGCCUUACCAGAACGGGUCCGACGGUGAGGGACGAAAGCUAGGGGAGCAAACCGGAUUAGAUACCCGGGUAGUCCUAGCUGUAAACGAUGCUCGCUAGGUGUCGGACACGGUGCGACCGUGUUUGGUGCCGCAGGGAAGCCGUUAAGCGAGCCACCUGGGAAGUACGGUCGCAAGGCUGAAACUUAA